rnacentral:rRNA from 1 species
UAAGGUCACGGCGAGACGAGCCGUUUGCCACCUACGAUAGGUGCCAAGUGGAAGUGCAGUGAUGUAUGUAGCUGAGGCAUCCUAACAGACCGAAAGAUUUGAAC